CAUACAUAGCUCUUGAUUCAACCCUAUUCCGUCGGCUCAACUGCAAAUUCACGCAACACAGAUUCUCCAUCUUCAUCUUCUUCAACAACUAUGACUCGCGGUAAUCAAAGGGAGAAAGAUCGCGAAAGAGCUCAAGCUCGUACCGGUGGUAAAGCCAAGAACAAAGAUGAUGGGUUGACUCCUGAACAACGCCGUGAAAGGGAUGGAAAAGCCCUUCAAGAGAAGGCCGCCAAGAAAGCAGCACAGGCGGCAGCGAGUGGCGGUAAUGCUGGAGGUAAUAAAAGCACCAAGAAAUAACACAACUUCUUAAUGGUUUAUUUGAGCGACUGAAUCGUAUGGGUAAGUUCGAGUUUCACAUUAUUAUCAAAAGAUCUAUAAAGAUAUCAUACAUUUGGUUUGUACUCUAACUAUACUGUGCUCUAUUUAUUUAAGAAACAAUCUUUUGGUUUUGGCAUGAUGGACAGAUUGGAAGAGUUUGAAAAAAAAAAAAAAAAAAAAAAAAAAAAAAAAAAAAAAAAAAAAAAAAAAAAAAAAAAAAAAAAAACUAAUGGAUGA
rnacentral:lncRNA from 1 species